GAAACCUGUAUGGCUGGGUACGGUCAGCAAUAGAGUCACGAACGGUCCGUGCCAGCGUAGUAACACUGUAACAGAAACACCAGAAAGCUGAGGAUUGAGACGGAGUUCAACUAAAUGAAAAAUACAAGGAAAACUAUGUGUUUUGAAAAUCAACCAAGAUGGCGUCGAUUGCAACUAUCACCAAAAGAGAAUGAUGAGCUGUACAAGCCUGCAUUAUGUAUAAGACCCUACAAUAGAUUCUUUAACACCAAAAGUCUCAAUAUUCUAAUAUGAGUUAGAUAUCAACUCAAUACUGUUCUGCUAUAUAUAAAUGAGAGGUCGAUAAAGUGCCUGGGCAUAUAUAUCAUAUAUAUCAUGCCUCAAGUGCAUGGGCAUAUAUAUCACAUAUAGUCAUAGAUGGAAUUAUAACUUAUAUGAUAGAAUUAACUAAACUUACUUAAAGUAAUAAAGAGACAUAUGUUUCCC